rnacentral:ncRNA from 1 species
AAAGAUAGAGGUUGCAAUAUUUAUUAUUAGAAUUAUUUAGUGGAUUAGGAUCCUAUAUAAUUUAAAAGGAAAUAUUGCCGAAGGACAUACAUUUUCCUAGGUGUGUGUAACUGGGCUAUUGCAAAAUAUGUAAUAGACUGUCACUUAUUAUUUAGUGGAGAGCUAUCA